UACGGGGGGAGCAAGCGUUGUUCGGAUUUACUGGGCGUAAAGGGCGCGUAGGCGGUCGUGACAAGUCACUUGUGAAAUCUCCGGGCUUAACUCGGAACGGUCAAGUGAUACUGUCGGACUAGAGUACAGAAGGGGCAACUGGAAUUCUCGGUGUAGCGGUGAAAUGCGCAGAUAUCGGGAAGAACACCCGUGGCUAAGGCGGCUCUCUAGUACGGUACUGACGCUGAGACGCGAAAGCGUGGGGAGCGAACAGG
rnacentral:rRNA from 1 species